rnacentral:lncRNA from 1 species
CCUGGCAGGCCUCAGGGAGAGCUGGCUUUGUCACAGCUGACUUGGUGCGGACAGAAUGAAUUACAGUUUCUGAAGGGAGUUUCAGGCAACUGCAACUGGUGGGCCAAGCUCUUAAACUUAUACAGCUGUGUUCUUGACCCCAGUGUCCUCAGGUGGAGGCCUCUUUAUUUGUGGCCUUUGGCUGAGGCCUUUGUAAGUUGCCUCUACUCAGACCUCUUUAUUGAGGAGAGCCUCAGGGUUCAUAAGACUGCAGACCCCUUUUGUUCUUGUCUCCCUUGAGAGUGAGCUGACCUCUUCUGUUUGCUGAUACACCUUGACCCUGAACCAAGGCACUGACUCAUGGGGGAACACAGAGCACGAGUUUCUCACAUGUCUGCAGUUUUUAAAAGUAACCAACCCAAAAUAAUCCUCAUGCCAAGGAGACAUUUCUUGGAGUGGCCAAUUCCAAUCCCCCACAGAACCCACAAUAAACAUCUGAAAAGAUAUAUAUAGAUUUAGGGAAUAAGAAAUGUAUCAGUAUAUUCUGGAGUUUUUCUCUUACCCAGGAAUAGGAUUGAAACUUUGUCCUCACAAAAUGAAGCUACAUUACAAUUCACCGUAAAAGAUACUGGAUCAUAUAUGCUCAAUUUCUUUCUCUUUAUUUUUCAAGGUUUUCUUUCUUAUCAUUAAUGAAAUUUAUAAGAAGUUAUCAUCAUUUAAGAAUAAGUAUGCAUAAAUUUUCCUUUUGCAACUUUCUUAUUUAAAUGAUAAAUAAAAUAAUUUUCACCACAUUUUAUUCAAAUUUUACUUUGAGAAUAAUAUUCUAAGUAUAUUAUUAUCUUGGCACAAUUCUCAUGAAAUUU